AGGAUCUACGACUUGGGUUUAGGGUAUAGAGUUUAGGUUUAUAGUCUAGUUUUUGGGUUUAGGGUAUAUAAUUUGGGUUUAGGGUCUAGAGUUUAGGGUUUAGGGUUUGGAUUUGAGUUUAGAAUUUAGGGUAUAGGGUUUAGAAUUUAGGGUUUCGGAUUUCGCUGGAAGCAUUAGCGUCGUUAAAAUUAGCAUUUUUAAAAUUAACGUUUAGGGUCUAUGAUUAGAGUUUAGGGUUUAGGGUUUGGAUUUGAGUUUAGAAUUUAUGGUAUAAGGUUUAGAAUUUAGGGUUUCGGAUUUUGCUGGAAACAUUAGCGUCGUUAAAAUUAGCAUUUUUAUUUUUGUAGCUAUUUUUUUGUUUAAUUUAAUGUUUUU
rnacentral:lncRNA from 1 species